rnacentral:rRNA from 1 species
UACGAAGGGGGCUAGCGUUGUUCGGAAUCACUGGGCGUAAAGCGCACGUAGGCGGAUUUUUAAGUCAGGGGUGAAAUCCCGAGGCUCAACCUCGGAACUGCCUUUGAUACUGAGGAUCUGGAGUCCGGGAGAGGUGAGCGGAACUGCGAGUGUAGAGGUGAAAUUCGUAGAUAUUCGCAAGAACACCAGUGGCGAAGGCGGCUCACUGGCCCGAUACUGACGCUGAGGUGCGAAAGCGUGGGGAGCAAACAGG